UCUUGGUGUAAUUCACUAGCCAAGGAGGGACAGACCUGAUUGGUAAUUGGAUGGGAGACCUUUAAGGCAAACUUGGCACUGCAAGAA
rnacentral:rRNA from 1 species